rnacentral:rRNA from 1 species
GGGGCCCCGCCAANCGUUGGAUAUGUGGUUAAUUCGAUGCACGCGAAGAACCUUACCUGGUCUUGACAUGUCGCGAAUCUUGCAGAAUNCGGGANUNCUUCGGAAUGCGAACACAGGUGCUGCAUGGCUGUCGUCNCUCGUGUCGUGAGAUGUUGGGUUAAUCCCGCAACAGCGCACCCUUGUCCUUAGUUGCCAGCACGUAAAGGUGGGAAUCUAAGGAGAUGCCGGUGACAAACCGGAGGAAGGUGGGGAUGACGUCAAGUCAUCAUGGCCCUUACGACCAGGGGCUACACACGUACUACAAUGGGGGGUACAGAGGGAAGCCAAGCGCGAGCGGAGCCAAUCCCGAUAAACCCCUCUCAGUCCGGAUCGAAGUCUGCAACUCGAUUCGUGAAGUCGAAUCGCUAGUAUCGCGAAUCAGCAUUGUCGCGGUGAAUACGUUCCCCGGGCCUUGUACAC